rnacentral:lncRNA from 10 species
UCGCUGCACUCUGGCCUGGACAACAGAGCGAGACUCUGUCUCAAAAAAAAAAAAAAAAAAAAAAGGCAUGAAGAGAAUGAUUGACAGAAGAUUUUCUGGAAUGAGACAACCACCCAGAGGCUGGGAGAGGUUGGGAAGGGAGAAGAGGCAAUACAGAUAGGCAGGUCCGUGCAAAGAAGAGCUUCUGGGAGGUGAAAUUAGCUGAGUGAAAAGUGAGAAAAGGCUGGAGCCAGGGGAGAGGGGAGGGUCUCUGGAUGCAGGACGUGCUGUGCCAGGAUGUGACUGGUUAGUGAGGAAACCUGGUGUCUGUGGGACAGGAGCCCCCAUGGGCUGCUUACUUUCUGCUCAGCCACGUCGGGGUUUUCUCUCAGUCAUUCUCCCCAGGCUCCCGAGGGCACUUCAGAUUUUCUUAGACAGCGCCAGCCAGCCUCUCCCUCUUGGACUUUUCUAGGGGAGAAUCAGGCACCAGUCUCUGCACUUCCCGAACUCCAGGGAACACAGAACUUUGCCUUUAAGAAGCAUCCAUGUCGCUACGUCCACUUGUGAUCCAUUCAGCUGAUUGCUGUACCCCAGGGUGAACAUCUAUCACAUUUUCCCUCUCCACUCUCCCAGGGAUGGUACUCCAAUUUCCUGCCUCCACAAAUAAUGCUGCAAUGAACAUCCUCCCUCAGGACUUGUGGGAGAAUCUCUCUGGGAUCUAAACCAUGGUUUUUCUUCAUGAACUAAAUGUGUGCCUUUUACGAAACAUGAGGCUGGUAAAUGUAGAACAAUUUUUUUAAAAAAGUGACUUAUGCCAUAGCAGUCAUGUUUCAGGCACUGUUCCAGAUGUAGGAUCAUCUCAAAGUGAAACAAAGGUAUUCAUUUACAUGAAAUCAGAAUCCUGUUAUUUACUAAAUAAUCACUUGGUUUAUGUUUAUUUACGCACUCAUGUGCUAGUAUUGGAAGGCUGACAUGGCAUAGCUAAGGCAUACUUGCUCCCAGCAUAGUAAGAUGAUAAGGGCUUGGAUUUGGGGUGACAUUGGUGCAGAGGUCAGAUUUGUUGCUUGCACCUGUUUGAAUAGCGUCAAGUUCCUUAAAUGCUCCAAGGCUCAAUUUUCUCAUGUAUAAAAUGGCAAUAAUUGUUUUUUGUGAAGAUUCAAUGAGAUAGUGUAUGUAGAGAGCCUAACACAGAGCCUGGCAUGAAAUAAGCACUCACAAAGGUAGGAUAAUCCCUCCCCUUGGAAAGCUCCCAGAAGAGUGGAGGAGCUAGAUGCAGACCCAGAUAUUCACAAUGCAGUGUGUAAAGUGGUAGUGCAACAUGGGCAAAGUGCAUGGGAGCACAAGAGAAAGACAGUGAAUAUUACUAAUUGCCAUUGAUUUCAUGCCUACCUUGUUCUAGAUACUGUCUAUAUAUGAUUUUAUUUUUUCUGGCUCUCUAAGGUGAACUCACUAUUUCUAUUUAAUAGAAUUAGAAACCAAUGCUCAGUGACAACUUCCAUUCAAAAUCACUUAUCCAGUUGUUGUACAGAAAAUUUGAAUCCCUCUCUAGCUGAUUGCAAAGUCUGUGUUUGUUUCAAUGACACCAAAGAAAAGCUAGCAUUUGGUCUGGAUCAUGAAGAAUGAGCAGGCAUUUUCUAGGUAGACAGAAUAUGCAAACAUUUUCCUUGGCACCUUGACUUUGGGGUCUUUCCAAAGAACUGGAUUUUUUUAUUUAUUCAUUAUCAUCACGUGUGUUUACCCAGAACUUACUGUGGCUGGAUGGUAGAAGUGCAAAGACUAAGAGAUAAGGUCUCUGUCUUUCAGGGGUUUAUAAUCUCUUCAGAGAGAUUGACUACAUACACAUACACCCCCCAUAAUCAGAUGGAUAAUGAUACAAGGUUGCAUAAGUUACAUGCCAGGGAAACACUACUGGUAUCAAGUGAGUUCAGAGGAGGGAGAGAUCACUGAGGGCUUAGUGGUCAGGGUGAGGACUGAGAAAUAGGUGGGACUGCAACUGGGGAUUGACAUGGGGAGAUUGGGUUGGACACUUGGAGCAGGCACAGUAGUGUCAUAGGAAAUGUAAGGGUUGCAUUCAAAAGGGGAGCACAUUACUUUGAAUUUACGGAAAGUCAGAUUUUACUCUUAAAAUUCCUUGAAGUAUACCACAAAGUAUAAGCUCUCAUAUCAAUUCUGUGAUGUGCAUGUGGCUUCUGUCUUCAAGUUCAGCACGGUCACUCUUCCCUACAGAGUUAGUAUAGAUUGCUACUUCUUUGGACUACAUAGCCCCUUCUAGCCUUCACAUUUCUAUAGUUGGUCUGUGUUUGGGAUGGUGUUGAACAAAAAUAGCAUUGCUUUAGUCACUGGAGUCAAAUCAGCAGGGCAAGAUGUUUGUACUACCAGAUCCAUGAGGCAACUGAAGGCUGGUGGAGGAGCAAGGAAGGUGGGCCUUCACGUCUGUGGACUGUACUUUGGCAUCACUGAGCUCUCAGCUUUGCUGAGGACAAGCCCAAGUGAGCUUGACGCUGGAGGAGUGAUCAUGUCUACAUUCAGAUGCCCCUAGCUAUGCUGGUCUCAAUGCAUGUCAAAUAUUGAAGAGCGAGGAUGAGGUGCUGGUGUUGAAUUAGAGGAGAACAGUCAGCAGCAGAAUAAAUAUUAUUCACAAGGAGACACCGUCUGUGUUUGUCUCAUGGGCCAAACAGGGGAAUGGAGGAAUGAUUGGAGUGGUGGGAAGAUUGCAUAAGGCUGAAUUCUAAUCGGUUUAACUUACUUAAGAUGUGACAUUAGUGUAAAAGUAGAGAGAGAGGAACUCAUAUAAGUAUGUCUGGGUUUGUUAGGAGGAGAGGAUUUGCAGAAACAGAGGUGCAUUUGGAAGAGACAUGGUGGUGGAGGAUUGUGCUAAGUAGGAUAGGAUUUUGGGCUCAGUCUUCUAGUGUGACAGGUGUCUUUGCAUAUGCCUGACCAGGGGAUUCUCCUUUAAAGAGAAAAGUUUUAGGGAGAUUAAAUAUGACAAUUAUGUGUAUGCUAGUUUGGAGGGGGGCUCAAAACUAGAUCCUGGGACCCCAGUUGGAGGUUGAUAUGAUUUGGAUCUGCAUCAUCCCCAAUGUUUGGAGGUGGAGCCUGGUAGGAGGUGAUUGGAUCAUGGAGGCAGAGUCUUCAUGAAUGGUUUAGCACCAUCCCCUCAGUGCUCUUCUCAUGAUAGUGAGUGAGUUCUCACAAGAUCUGGUUGUUUCAAAGUGUGUGGCGCCUCUCCCUACCCUCUCUCUUCCUCCUGCUCUGGCCAUGUAAAUUACUGGCUCUUUCUUUGCCUUCUGCUGUAAUUGGAAGCUUCCUGAGGCCUCUCCCAAAGCAGAUGCUGCCAUGCUUCCUCUACAGUCUGUGGAACUGUGAGCCAAUUAAACUUCUUUUCUUAUAAAUUACAUAGUCUCAGGUAUUUCUUUAUAGCAAUGCGACU